rnacentral:rRNA from 1 species
UACGAGUGCCCCAAGCGUUAUCCGGAAUUAUUGGGCGUAAAGGGUGUGUAGGUGGUUUUGUUAGUCUUCUGUUAAAGCUCCCGGCUUAACCGGGAAAGUGCAGAGGAAACGGCAAGACUAGAGGAUGUGAGAGGUUUGCGGAACUCAUGGUGUAGGGGUGAAAUCCGUUGAUAUCAUGGGGAACACCAAAAGCGAAGGCAGCAAACUGGCGCAUUCCUGACACUGAAACACGAAAGCGUGGGUAGCGAAUGGG